rnacentral:rRNA from 1 species
UACGUAGGGCGCAAGCGUUGUCCGGAAUUAUUGGGCGUAAAGAGCUCGUAGGCGGUCUGUCGCGUCCGUUGUGAAAACUCGAGGCUCAACCUCGGGCUUGCAGUGGAUACGGGCAGACUAGAGUGCGGUAGGGGAGACUGGAAUUCCUGGUGUAGCGGUGAAAUGCGCAGAUAUCAGGAGGAACACCGAUGGCGAAGGCAGGUCUCUGGGCCACUACUGACGCUGAGAAGCGAAAGCAUGGGGAGCGAACAGG